rnacentral:rRNA from 1 species
GAUGAACGCUGGCGGCGUGCCUAAUACAUGCAAGUCGAGCGAACAGACGAGGAGCUUGCUCCUCUGACGUUAGCGGCGGACGGGUGAGUAACACGUGGAUAACCUACCUAUAAGACUGGGAUAACUUCGGGAAACCGGAGCUAAUACCGGAUAAUAUAUUGAACCGCAUGGUUCAAUAGUGAAAGACGGUUUUGCUGUCACUUAUAGAUGGAUCCGCGCCGCAUUAGCUAGUUGGUAAGGUAACGACUUACCAAGGCGACGAUGCGUAGCCGACCUGAGAGGGUGAUCGGCCACACUGGGACUGAGACACGGUCCAGACUCCUACGGGAGGCAGCAGUAGGGAAUCUUCCGCAAUGGGCGAAAGCCUGACGGAGCAACGCCGCGUGAGUGAUGAAGGUCUUCGGAUCGUAAAACUCUGUUAUUAGGGAAGAACAAAUGUGUAAGUAACUAUGCACGUCUUGACGGUACCUAAUCAGAAAGCCACGGCUAACUACGUG